AACGAACGCUGGCGGCAGGCCUAACACAUGCAAGUCGAGCGAGACCUUCGGGUCUAGCGGCGUACGGGUGAGUAACGCGUGGGAACGUGCCCUUUUCUACGGAAUACCCUCGGGAAACUGAGCGUAAUACCGUAUACGCCCUUUGGGGGAAAGAUUUAUCGGAGAAGGAUCGGCCCGCGUUGGAUUAGGUAGUUGGUGGGGUAAUGGCCUACCAAGCCUACGAUCCAUAGCUGGUUUGAGAGGAUGAUCAGCCACACUGGGACUGAGACACGGCCCAGACUCCUACGGGAGGCAGCAGUGGGGAAUCUUAGACAAUGGGGGCAACCCUGAUCGAGCCAUGCAGCGUGAGUGAUGAAGGCCUUAGGGUUGUAAAGCUCUUUCAGCUGGGAAGAUAAUGACGGUACCAGCAGAAGAAGCCCCGGCUAACUCCGUG
rnacentral:rRNA from 1 species